GUAAAACUCUGAUCACCUGGUGCUAGGAGUGAGCUGCUAAUUCCCUUCUGAUUAAAAAUGUUCAUCUUCUCAGGAACCAUGGAAGUUUGCAAUCCAGGUUCUUAAAAGUUGCAAAGGCUUCUGGAGGAAAAUACUUAUGAUAUUUAAGAGAGCAGAUGUUUACAAUUCUUCAAUGUAUAUAUUUUAAAGUAAAAACAUAUCAAUGAGUCAAUACUUCAUUGUCUAUAAAGAUUUCAUGCAUAGAAGUGGCAUUUCCUUAUUUAAUCAAUUUCCUAAUUUAAUACUGGAGUAUGGUGGUCAGAGAAGAGCAUUCUGGCAGAAAGGGAACCACGCAACAGAGCAAGUGAGAAAUGGUAAUAGCAGGGGAGCAUGCUUGUUUAUCUGAUCACCUUCAGCACUUUGGGAGGAGCUAGCAACAAAUGACAGCUGUCACCGAGGAGAUAAAGUAAAAGCACCAGAAAUGCAAACCACCUAGUCAGUCUCUAGUGGAACGAAUGCAAUUGCCUGCUUGGGGUAAGGAUAAAUUAAACACUGAGUCACAGAACAUAAAUGACUGUUGUUUCAGCUGCCCAGAAUAAUACAGGAUUUGAGCUCUCCUAACUCUUACUCUCCAAACUCCAAGGGGAAAAUAUUAUUGCAUGCUGAGAGUCAUUAUGAUGAUUCCAGCCAAUUUAUGAAAAAAAAUCCACUCCUUCUACAGAAAGUAUCAGUAUGGACUGAGCAAUAAUGGAGAUUUUGGAAGGUUUUACAGGGGAGAGUUUCUGAAGAGACGUCUGUGCAGUUUUUGUGUAAGCAUAUGGGUAACCAUGUCAAGUCACAUCAUUUUGUACCUAAUCCAACAUCUGCAGAACUCAUUUGUAGCUCUGUUUGUUUCCAAGGGUUUUCAUGUUUGCAGUAGGUAAAAUAGCUUUCUAAGGUAGCAGGAAGAACCUGCUCAUGUGCGGUGCUAAGGUAUUGCUGUAGGAAAGCAGAAUGUCAUCUUUUAAAGAUGUAAAACUGCCUUUUGGCCAUGAUGUACCUAUUAAACAGAAGUCUUGUAAGAUUUUGUUAAUGCAGAAUCUGAGUUUACAGUCUUAUGAGUGCCUCUACACCUCACCUGCCUAGAAAUUUCUCUGCAUUUCAACUGAAUAGACCAACUUUUUCCAAACACUUCUCUUAACAAUGAGUGACCUUUGAAAACCAUCACCACUCCCAACUUACAACUCCCAUACAUUCCCAGGAAAAACACCUGAUUAGAUGUGGCAUAUGAAAGCAAUAUUAUAUGACGUUUACUGUAUGUGGUGGAUGCAAAUACGUGUUAAUUUUUGCCUAUUACAA